rfam:Octopus bimaculoides Scaffold43726_contig_72, whole genome shotgun sequence.
AGGGGCGUGGCUCAGUGGUUAGGGUAUUCGAUUCACGAUCGUAAGGUCGUGGGUUCAAUUCCCGGCGACGCGU